ACUCCUACGGGAGGCAGCAGUGGGGAAUAUUGCACAAUGGGCGCAAGCCUGAUGCAGCCAUGCCGCGUGUGUGAAGAAGGCCUUCGGGUUGUAAAGCACUUUCAGUAGGGAGGAAGGUAGUGUAGUUAACACCUGCAUUAUUUGACGUUACCUACAGAAGAAGCACCGGCUAACUCCGUGCCAGCAGCCGCGGUAAUACGGAGGGUGCGAGCGUUAAUCGGAAUUACUGGGCGUAAAGCGCAUGCAGGCGGCCUGUUAAGUCAGAAGUGAAAGCCCGGGGCUCAACCUCGGAAUUGCAUUUGAAACUGGCAGACUAGAGUACUGUAGAGGGGGGUAGAAUUUCAGGUGUAGCGGUGAAAUGCGUAGAGAUCUGAAGGAAUACCGGUGGCGAAGGCGGCCCCCUGGACAGAUACUGACACUCAGAUGCGAAAGCGUGGGGAGCAAACGAGGAUUAGAUACCCUGGUAGCACAGAG
rnacentral:rRNA from 1 species